GGGGAAUAUUGCACAAUGGGGGAAACCCUGAUGCAGCGACGCCGCGUGAGCGAUGAAGUAUUUCGGUAUGUAAAGCUCUAUCAGCAGGGAAGAAAAUGACGGUACCUGACUAAGAAGCCCCGGCUAACUACGUGCCAGCAGCCGCGGUAAUACGUAGGGGGCAAGCGUUAUCCGGAUUUACUGGGUGUAAAGGGAGCGUAGACGGCAUGGCAAGCCAGAUGUGAAAGCCCGGGGCUCAACCCCGGGACUGCAUUUGGAACUGUCAGGCUAGAGUGUCGGAGAGGAAAGCGGAAUUCCUAGUGUAGCGGUGAAAUGCGUAGAUAUUAAGAGGAACACCAGUGGCGAAGGCGGCUUUCUGGACGAUGACUGACGUUGAGGCUCGAAAGCGUGGGGAGCAAAC
rnacentral:rRNA from 1 species